UUGAGCUAUUUGAUUGUUUUAUUUAUUUAUUUAUUUUUUGCAGCUGUUGUUCUCAGGGAAGAGGUCGCAGUCCACCUGAUGAAUUUAGAUUAAGUUUUGGAACUAAAAUUUGGCAAUAUUAUAUGUUAUGUUAUGUGAUGUUGUGUGUGUGUGUGUGUGUCUUUGCCCAGGAAUCUGUUAUGUUAUGUGAUGUUGUGUGUGAGCGUGUGUCUUUGACAGUAUGUGAUGAUUUCGAUGGCUUCUAUUGGGAAUCAAUAUAUAUAUAUAUAUUUUAAAUCUAAAUUUUGUUUUCUUUUGUUUUGUUCUGGCAAUGGAUUGGCUGCUUCCCAUGAGCAAAUUAAAUGGAUUCAAAAGGUUGGUUUCAUAGUUUGCUUAUGGGUGGAUUUCAAUAGUUUGAGCUAUUUGAUUGUUUUAUUUAUUUAUUUUGCAGCUGUUCUUCUUAGCAUUUCAGUGCACCAUGUUAACCCAUUAAAGGUACAUAUGCCUUGGCUUGAAGUAGAGUUCGAUUAGCUCAUAAAAAGUUGUGAUUUUAUUUGCUGCAAUGGUUGAUUAGGGGAUCAAGAUGGCAGUUGGACUGGUGAUUAGUGACUAAAUUAGGUGUUUCAGCACCACUAUGUACUGCAAAAAAUUGAUCAAAACAUUUAAUUUAUAGACCACAUUUGUUAUGGAGUGAUUCAUAUUCUACAAACUUCAAACAAUUAUGUUACGCACUUAGAAGGACCUAGACUUUUACCCAUAAUUCAAAAAGUGGAUGAGAUUCAUCUUACCUAGGCCACAAUUCAAAAAGUGGAUGAAAUUCUCUUCAUUUUGCCGAUCCAGAAAAAAAAAAAGUAACUUUAAAUCUACACCCUCCAGUUCACUUUCACGAUAAAAUUAUAGGUGAAUUUUCAAGGUUCAUAGAAUUAUUAAACUUUAAACCUAUACUAUACAAAUUCAACAUUCUAAUAAAAAAUAAAAAUUAAUAAGUUGAAAUACAAGAGCAGAGUUGAUAGGAAGAAGUCAUUGUCAAGAAUAUAUUAUAAUUUUGAUAUGUAAAAGUGAAUGUGAGAUCAUUUGUGAUGUGAUUGACAUUGCAUGCCUUA